rnacentral:rRNA from 1 species
AUCUACGGCCAUGCCACCCUGAACAAGCCCGAUCCCAUCUGAUCUCGGAAGCUAAGCAGGGUCGGGCCUGGUUAGUACUUGGAUGGGAGACCACCUAGGAAAACCAGGUGCUGUAGGUG